UACGGAGGAUGCAAGCGUUAUCCGGAAUGAUUGGGCGUAAAGCGUCCGCAGGUGGCUAUGUAAGUCUGCUGUUAAAGAGUGAGGCUCAACCUCAUAAAAGCAGUGGAAACUACAUGGCUAGAGUGCGUUCGGGGCAGAGGGAAUUCCUGGUGUAGCGGUGGAAUGCGCAGAUAUCAGGAGGAACACCGGUGGCGAAGGCGCUCUGCUGGACCAUAACUGACACUCAGGGACGAAAGCUAGGGGAGCGAAUGGG
rnacentral:rRNA from 1 species